UACGUAGGGGGCAAGCGUUAUCCGGAUUUACUGGGUGUAAAGGGAGCGUAGGCGGCUUAGUAAGUCAGAAGUGAAAGCCCGCAGCUCAACUGCGGGACUGCUUUUGAAACUGCCAGGCUAGAGUGUCGGAGAGGUAAGUGGAAUUCCUAGUGUAGCGGUGAAAUGCGUAGAUAUGUGGAAGAACACCGAUGGCGAAGGCAGCCUCCUGGGACGCAACUGACGCUCAUACACGAAAGCGUGGGGAGCAAACAGG
rnacentral:rRNA from 1 species